CACGUAGGCUGUUUGGUAAGUCAGGGGUGAAAUCCCGCGGCUCAACCGCGGAAUUGCCCUUGAUACUGCUGGACUUGAGUCCGGGAGAGGGUGGCGGAAUUCCAGGUGUAGGAGUGAAAUCCGUAGAUAUCUGGAGGAACAUCAGUGGCGAAGGCGGCCACCUGGACCGGUACUGACGCUGAGGUGCGAAAGCGUGGGGAAGCAAACA
rnacentral:rRNA from 1 species